GACGAACGCUGGCGGCGUGCUUAACACAUGCAAGUCGAGCGGUAAGGCCCUUUCGGGGGUACACGAGCGGCGAACGGGUGAGUAACACGUGGGUGACCUGCCCUCAGCUCUGGGAUAAGCCUGGGAAACUGGGUCUAAUACCGGAUAUGACUCCAUGGCGCAUGUUGUGGGGUGGAAAGCCUUGUGCGGCUGAGGAUGGGCCCGCGGCCUAUCAGCUUGUUGGUGGGGUGANGGCCUACCAAGGCGACGACGGGUAGCCGGCCUGAGAGGGCGACCGGCCACACUGGGACUGAGACACGGCCCAGACUCCUACGGGAGGCAGCAGUGGGGAAUCUUGCGCAAUGGGCGAAAGCCUGACGCAGCGACGCCGCGUGAGGGAUGACGGCCU
rnacentral:rRNA from 1 species